rnacentral:rRNA from 1 species
CCUACGGGAGGCAGCAGUGGGGAAUAUUGCACAAUGGGGGAAACCCUGAUGCAGCGACGCCGCGUGAGCGAGGAAGUAUUUCGGUAUGUAAAGCUCUAUCAGCAGGGACGAAAAAAGACGGUACCUGACCAAGAAGCCCCGGCUAACUACGUGCCAGCAGCCGCGGUAAUACGUAGGGGGCAAGCGUUAUCCGGAUUUACGGGGUGGAAAGGGAGCGUAGACGGGAAGGCAAGCCAGAAGGGAAAGGGCAGGGCUCAACCCUGUACAUGCUUUUGAAACUGUGGUGCUAGAGUGCAGGAGAGGUAAGUGGAAUGCGUGGUGUAGCGGUGAAAUGCGUAGAUAUUAGGAGGAACACCAGUGGCGAAGGCGGCUUACGGGACUGUAACUGACGUUGAGGCUCGAAAGCGUGGGGAGCAAACAGGAUUAGAUACCCGGGUAGUC